rnacentral:lncRNA from 1 species
GCAUAUGGAAGUCGCCAGGCAGGGGGCGAAUUGGAGCUACAGCUGCUGGCCGACACCAUAGCCACAGCAACUCAGGAUCCGAGCGGCAUCUGCGACCUACACCACAGCUCACAGCAACGCUGGAUCCUUAGCCUGCUGAGCAGGGGUCAGGGAUGGAACCUGCAUCCUGCUGGAUCCAGUCGGGUUUGUUAACUUCUGAGCCACGAAGGGAACUCCUCUAGAAAAAUUUUGCCUAUACUAUGUUCUAUUUAAGUUAAAUAGGAAAUAUUGACACUCAGAUGGGCAGGUAAAGAAAUUAUAGGACAAAAACAAAUGGAGUGAUUUCCCUACAACUAGAAAACCUAGGCUGAAAUUUGAAUUCCGAUCACUAAGUGUCGGUCCCAUGAGCUUCAGAACGCCUUCGCUUUCUGUGUUGUGUUCAUCCCAGUUUUCUCUAUUCCCAUUUCUUCCCUCAAAAACGUACCCCUCCCUAGAGUAUCUUCUUUUUUUAUUGACCCAUGUUCUUUAUCUACUUCCUGCAGCAACAGCUCCACUGAGAAAAAAAUUUAGAUAUUAUAAAUCUAAUUUGGUAAGUGAAAUAGAUCCCCUGAGCUGCAGGCUGACUGUUCAUGAGCUGCAGUGAGAUUUAAGUAUUUAAAUGUAAACAGUUAAUACCCUCAAAGAGCAACAAAAGGCAAUUCAUGAUGAAGAAACCAAAUAGAGUCAUCCCCAAAAUAUAGUUUUUUUUUAAGAAGCAGAAGCAUGCAGUUUUCAAAAAAAAAAAAAAAAAAAAAGGAGAAAAUGGACAGAGGUCAUGAACACAGUACACACACACACACACACACACACACACACACACACAAGUGGUCAGUUAGUGGCCAGUUCACCCAGGCCAACAAGUAAACUGAGGUUCAGCCUAAUUUAUAACUAAAAUAAUGCAAAUAAAAAUGUGGUUCAUUUUUCGCUACCAGCUUGCCAAAGAUUAAGAUGUUUAAUAAUACCCAGAGACAAUAAGAGAGUUUGAAAAUAGACAUUCUCACGCGUUGUUAGCGGGAAUGUAAAUUGGUGCGAUGUGUCAGUGUGCAUGUCUAAACUAUCAGAAUAUCAUUUCAUUUCUAGCAAUUUAUCCAAGAGGUAAACACACCUGUGUACACGUUUGUUCAUUGCAGAGUGUUUGUGAUGGUGGAAAACGAAGCACAAGCUAAAUAUCCACAAGGGGCCAAUUGGACGUUGCUUUUUGGUGGAAAGAAAACUACACAGUCAUCUUUAAAAUUUUAAAUAAAUUUAUAUGUGUGCUUAGGGAUGAAACUUCAAAACAGAGUUACUUCAAUGAAAAAAAAACGUGGCAUAUUUUUGGUAAUGCAUCUAUACCUGUGUAUAGAGAGGUUUCUAUGUGCACUGAAUGCUAAUAGACUAACGUCAGGAAACACUUGAGGGUGACCUGGGCUAAUGGCCAGAGAUCUGAAGGAUGGGGGAUGGGAAUGGAGGAUGACUUCCGAUUUUUACACUCUUCUCUUUUGUCCUGUUGGAAUUACUUCCUGUGAGUACACUUACAUUGCUCUCCUAAUUACUAUUUUGUGAAAAGAAGCCAUACUACUUCAGAGAUGAAAACUAAAAUUGCAAUUCAGUUCUGAUGGGUGGUCUCUACAAACCCCCAAUCCUAAAUCAUCACUUUGGUCAAGCUGGCCCUGGGCCCAGCCGAGUCUAGGGGUCUUGGGUGGCCGAUUUCCCCAGCACAUCUGAAAGUGAGGGAUUUCUGAGAUGCAGGGUUUUCACUACGAAAUUAGGACAGUCUGGGGGUGGAAUGUGAAGGACAGAAAGACCCCAAGACCUUUAGAGCUUCUCCAAAGCCAAGGGAGGAUUCAGGAGACAAAACAGCCAAAACCUUGAGAGGAGAAGGAUUUCCUCGGCACUAGGGAAGGAUUCCUGCUGGCUGGUGGUAGAGCCAGGGAGGGAGUCAGGAAGCAGGAGCACAAGGAGAGAGCUUCUAAGUGUACCCCACACCCUAGACCUGGCUGCCAGACCCCAUAGACGCCCCAUGGUGGGGCGGGUCUGGUCCUCAUAACUUCAGGACCUUGGAUGGCUCACCAAUGUUCUUCUACCCAAGCAGGCCUGAAGGACAGAGAGCUUGGCCACCUGGAGACACCACUUAGGAAGCCUAAUGGAUGCCUCAGUGGUCACUCUUGGAGCUCCCCACACAGCUCCCCGCUAGCUUGGGCACUGGAUAGUCUUCCGGAACCAGAACACUGAUUAUGAUGGAAAGUGAUGCAAAAUAACUCAGAUGAACUCUUGUACCAGAGCUGUGAAGACCCCACCGAGACCUCUGUGUUACUUAUUGGUCCAAACCACACUAUUUGCUCCAAGCUUCUUACCGCAAACGCAUAUGACCCUCUGCCUGGGACUGUUUCCCACCCAAGGUUGCUGGCUGAGCUAAGCCAUCCAGCCUCCAUCGGAAACGCUUAUGUCCACCAUCUACUGAGAGUGAGAGAAGAUGAGGACUCAACUAUAAAUACUGUUUUUAUGGUGCAGGCUCCUACUGUGAUGUCAUCAUUUGAAGGUAGCCUAGAAAAUGGAAAUGAACUUCAAAGUCCAGAGGGGAAAAAGAAGAUCCUAUGGAAUACUCUUCAAAUGAAAUUAACUGACCAGCAGGCGCUUUGAGGCUUUCAGGCUACUCAGCUUAAAUGAGAGUGAGCGUGUAAUAUGGAUGGCAGACCCUGUCCGGCCACAGACUGUCACUUCCUUUUGGUUCUCAAAUAAGAAUCCUUGAAAUGCUGUGCCACAUGGCAGAUUCAAUUUUGUUCACUUACUUUUCAUCUCCCAGACAUAGUUUUCUUCUGCAAAAAAAAUAUGGAGAUACCAUUUUUUCAAAGGCAGCUUACCAUUUAGAGAAACGUGCAUAGAGAGGGAAGAGAAAAGGAAGACCCUCAUAAAGCAAUGCAUUUUCAUGCACAGUGAUAUCUCUUUUUGCACAGCCUAACUUUCACACAGGUUGAAUAAAAGCUUUGCUAGGACCUGUCACAUACCAUCUACACUGAAGCUUUUCUUUAGCCCCAUGACUGCUACCUUGGUUUAUGCUCUCAGCAUCCUUCCCUUCAUUGUUUUGUUCACUUUCUCAGCCUGUGUCAGGUGUCAUGCUAGACACAAGGAAUGCAAAGACAAACUAAGCAUGGUCCUCGCCUCUAACCAUCCCUGCUGGUCUUUAUCACGUGGAUAUCCCACAUGCAGAUCUAUUUCAACAGAACCCAUGUGGGCUGGACUCUGCUCUCCUUUUAUCUUUUUCCUUUUAUCGAGCAUCACCACCAUCUACACGAUUUAUGAAUCAAAAACUUGGCAUAGCUUUUCUUUCAUCUAGCCUUAACCUAAUCAGUCUUACAGCUUGAAAUGCCUUUCUACAUUUCUCUCUCCCCUUAUCUGUCAGGAAAUUUCCAGCACCAAGUAACAGCUGGCUCACUGUGGCCAACUCACGGUGGCUUAAAUUCUUAGGCUAUUUAUUGUUAAUGUAACAAGAAGUUCUAGGACUGAUUGGUAACCCAGAGAAAUAUUACCAGGCUCUGCCCAUUCUUCCACUCUAACAAGCAUAGUGAUUUAUUACCUCAUUGUCACAAAAUGGCUGCAACAGCUUCAGGCAUCAUGUUCCUACACAGUUAUAUUCAAAGGUAGGAAAAUUCAGGGAGAAGCCAGAGAAAUGGGAGUAUUAGGAUAGAAAUUUUUUUCCACAAGUAUCCACCAUCAGACUUCCUUUUUGAUAAGAAAUGAAUCACUGAAGCAGUCACAAAGUUUCAAUUACUUUAUUUUUUAAUUAUGUCAAUUCUGUUUCUCUUUCUUCUAACUGCAGUAUCCCCACGUCAGCAUUCUACUGAAUGAAUAUCUCCUAAAAGGUUCCUGCCUCAAAUCUAUCUUCUGCACAAAUGCUAGCCCAGUAUUUAGUAUGGAAACCAUACUGAAAGCGGACAACCCAUGAUUCUUGCCUCCUAAUAUUCAUAGCCUUGUGUAGUUCCUCCCACAUUGUUCCAGGGUGGUAUGGGCAGCCAACAGAAGAUGACACAAGUGACAGGAUUUCACUUCUGAGGUUAGAUUAAAAAGGCACCAUGGCUUCAUCUUGGUCUCUCUCAUCCCUCACUCUGGGGAAAGCCAGCUGCCCUGCCUUGAUGAUGCUCAGCAGCUCUAUGGAGAGGUUCACACAGUGAGAACUGAGGCCUCCUGCCAACAGCCACAUGAGUGGGCUUGGAAGUGGAUCCUCAAGCCCUCAGCUGACACCUAGACUAACAACUCAUGAGUAGCCCUAAGCCAGAAGCAUGUACCUAAGUUCCUUCCCAAUUCCUGAUCCUCCUGAUUUGUGGAGACUGGGAGAUAAUAAAUGUUAAGUCAGUAAGUCUGGAGAUUAUUCGUUAUGAUCAUGAAUUCAGUUAAAGUGAAAUUUUCCUGCCUGAAAACUGAGUGGUCCUUUAAAUAUUUUGCUUUUUGUUUCUUUUUAUGGCUACCCUCAGCACAUGGAAGUUCCUGGGCCAGGACUGAAUGAGAGCUACAGAUGUAACCUGAGCCAAAGCUGCAGCAAUACCAGAUCUUUUAACCCACAUGCCAAGCUGGGGAUCAAACCUUCACUUCUGCAGCAACCCAAGCUGGUGCAGUCAGAUUCUUAACCCACUGUUGCCAUGGAGGGAACUCCCAGAUUUAAAUAUAUUGAACUGACAUUUCAAAUUAGGAGAGGUCACAUAAAUAUCAGAGCAUCUGGGUCACACUAGCUCCGCAUGUGCAUAGAGCACCAUGGGCUGAACCAGCAGGUCGGCCACUUCCUUUAAAAAUUCAAUGCAGGGGAGUUCCCACUGUGGCUCCCACUGUUAUAAACCCAACUAGCAUCCACGAGGAUGAGUUUGAACCCUGGCCUUGCUCAGUGGGUUGGGUAUCCGGCAUUGCCUUGAGCUGUGGUGUAGGUUACAGAUGUGGCCGGAUCCCUUGUUGCUGUGGCUCUGGUGUAGGCCAGCAGCUGCAGUUCCAAUUUGACCCCUAGCUUGGGAACCUCCAUAUGCUGUGGGUACAGCCCUAAAAAGAAAAAAAAAAAGAAAAAAAAAAUUCAAUUCAAUUCCAAUUCACUAUUAUUCUUUCAGCAGUGGUAAGGACACAUGAUAGCUGCAAUUUUUUAUUCCCCACUUGUAUCAUUAUUUCAGGUAUAACAGAGACAUACUCUUGUGUACCUAUGUACUUAUCAAAAAUGGGGAAAGUGGAAUUCCCUGGUGGCUCAGUGGGUUAAGGAUCCAGCAUUGUCACUGUUGUGGCCUGGGUCACUGCUGUGCUUCAGCAACUUAGGUUGCUACAAAGGUGCAGGUACUAUCCUCGGCCCGACUCAGAGGGUCAAAGGAUCAGUAUUUCCGCAGCUGUAGCACAGGUCACAGCUGUGUUUUGGAUUCAGUCCCUGGCCUGGAAACUUCCAUAUGCCAUGGAUGCAGCCAUAAAAAAAAUUUAAAAAUUUAAAAAGCAAAACAUUCUCUGACAUCAACCUCAUGAAUAUUUUCUCAGGUCAUUCUCCCAAAGCAACAGCAAUAAAAGCAAAAAUAAACCAGUGGGACCUAAUCAAACUGACAAGAUUUUGCACAGCAAAGGAAACCAAAAAGAAAACAAAAAGACAACUUACAGAAUGGGAGAAAAUAGUUUCAAAUGAUGCAACUGACAAGGACUUAAUCUCUAGAAUAUACAAGCAACUUAUACUACUCAACAGCAAAAAAGCCAACCAUCCAAUUGAAAAACUGGCAAAAGACCUGAAUAGACGUUUUCCAAAGAAGAUGUACAGAUGGCCAAAAGCACAUGAAACAAUGCUCCACAUCCCUGAUUACUAGAGAAAUGCAAAUAAAAACUACCACAAGAUAUCACCUCACACCAGUCAGAAUGGCCAUCCUUAAUAAGUCCACAAAUAACAAAUGCUGGAGGGGGUGUGGAGAAAAGGGAACCCUCCUGCACUGCUGGAAAUGUAAGCUGGUACAACCACUAUGGAGAUCAGUAUGGAGAUACAACAGAAAUCUAUACAUAGAACUACCAUAUGAUCUAGGAAGCCCACUCUUGGGCAUAUAUCCAGACAAAACUUUCCUUAAAAAAGACACAUGCACC